rnacentral:rRNA from 1 species
CUCUAAGGAGACUGCCGGUGGACAAACCGGAGGAAGUGGGGAUGACGUCAAGUCAUCGUGGCCCUUACGGCCUGGGCUACACACGUGCUACAAUGGUCGGUACAAAGGGUUGCCAAGCCGCGAGGUGGAGCUAAUCCCAUAAAACCGAUCGUAGUCCGGAUCGCAGUCUGCAACUCGACUGCGUGAAGUCGGAAUCGCUAGUAAUCGUGAAUCAGAAUGUCACGGUGAAUACGUUCCCGGGCCUU